rnacentral:snRNA from 1 species
GUGCUAGCUUCGGCAGCACACAUACUAAAAUUGGAACAAAUACAGAGAAGAUUAGCAUGGCCCUGUGCAAGGAUGACAUGAAAUUCGUGAAGCGUUCCAUAUUUUU